rnacentral:rRNA from 1 species
GAUGAACGCUGACGGCGUGCCUAAUACAUGCAAGUCGAGCGAACGGACGAGAAGCUUGCUUCUCUGAUGUUAGCGGCGGACGGGUGAGUAACACGUGGAUAACCUACCUAUAAGACUGGGAUAACUUCGGGAAACCGGAGCUAAUACCGGAUAAUAUUUUGAACCGCAUGGUUCAAAAGUGAAAGACGGUCUUGCUGUCACUUAUAGAUGGAUCCGCGCUGCAUUAGCUAGUUGGUAAGGUAACGGCUUACCAAGGCAACGAUGCAUAGCCGACCUGAGAGGGGGGUCGGCCAACCGUGAACCUAAACACGGUCCCGGCUACUAAGGGAAGGAGCAGUAGGGAAUUGUCCGCAAUGGGGGAAAGGCUGACGGAGCAACGCCGCGUGAGUGAUGAAGGUCUUCGGAUCGUAAAACUCUGUUAUUAGGGAAGAACAUAUGUGUAAGUAACUGUGCACAUCUUGACGGUACCUAAUCAGAAAGCCACGGCUAACUACGUG